CAGGAUGAACGCUAGCGACAGGCCUAACACAUGCAAGUCGAGGGGCAGCACAAGGAGCAAUCUGAGGUGGCGACCGGCGCACGGGUGAGUAACACGUAUGCAACCUGCCUGUAAGCGGGGAAUAACCCGUUGAAAGACGGACUAAUACCGCAUAAUACUAAAUUACUGCAUGGUAAUUUAUUUAAACAUUUAUGGUUUACAGAUGGGCAUGCGCAUGAUUAGCUAGUUGGAGAGGUAACGGCUCCCCAAGGCAACGAUCAUUAGGGGUUCUGAGAGGAAGGUCCCCCACACUGGUACUGAGACACGGACCAGACUCCUACGGGAGGCAGCAGUGAGGAAUAUUGGUCAAUGGACGAGAGUCUGAACCAGCCAAGUCGCGUGCAGGAAGAAUGUUCCCUAUGGAUUGUAAACUGCUUUUGCAGGGGAAUAAAGUGCAUCACGUGUGAUGUUUUGUAUGUACUCUGCGAAUAAGGAUCGGCUAACUCCGUGCCAGCCGCCGC
rnacentral:rRNA from 1 species